rnacentral:rRNA from 1 species
CAGUAGCCGCGGUAAUACGAAGGGUGCAAGCGUUAAUCGGAAUUACUGGGCGUAAAGCGUGCGUAGGCGGUGAGUUAAGUCUGCUGUGAAAUCCCCGGGCUCAACCUGGGAAUGGCAGUGGAUACUGGCUCGCUAGAGUGUGUCAGAGGAUGGUGGAAUUCCCGGUGUAGCGGUGAAAUGCGUAGAGAUCGGGAGGAACAUCAGUGGCGAAGGCGGCCAUCUGGGACAACACUGACGCUGAGGUGCGAAAGCGUGGGGAGCAAACAGGAUUAGAUACCCGCGUAGUCCCUGUCUCUUAUAC